rnacentral:lncRNA from 1 species
AUAAUUAUCAUAAUUACAAUCAGUCAUCAUCGCGGCCAAUUCCGACGUGUCUGCGCGCGCGCCGAUGCGCACGUGCACGUUCAUUCAUCGCUGACGCCUUAAACUUACCCAUUUUCAUACAGCUGGCAGUGUUUUACAAAGCAAUAUAUUCUUUUUUUCACAGUUAUCCAUGGAACGGAUGAAGUGACCAACACAUAAUAUGCACUAUUAAUAAAAGCCCGAUUGUGUUUCAGUGCAGAAAACAUGUGGUGCAUAAAUCUGUGUACAAAACACUCUGCAGCCUCCACUAAAUACAUACACAUGUACAAAUAAUAUACUCCAUACUUGCAUAUUCAGUGAAAAUACUACACUAUUUACAGCUUCCAGGAGUUUCAAAAUACUGUUGUAUAAGGAGGAAGCAAAAAAUGAGGGUUUGGAAUAAAAGUACGAUUUGGCACUUUUGGGGGGGCGCAGUUCUAAAAAAGGUCACAUUCUUUUAAUCUUCAAGUAAAAAAAUGAUUUAUAGGAAUCACAUGACUAACAGUCAGUCACCCCAGGUAAGUUCAUAACCUACUGGGGCAGGUGCGAGACACAACAGGUAUUUCGGUUUACGGUCACCGUGUCAUGCAGGACCCCCCUCCCUCCGCGUCCCUGGAGGACUGUGUGUAUACUAAGAUACCAUAGUACUGUACGGACAGGCUACGGGGGACAGUGGUUCGCACUCACGCUUUUGGAGCCCAACAGCGGAGGUUCGAAUUCCACCUCUGCUCUAGUCUAGUACGUUGGUUGAGGUACUUUCUCUGACUUUAUUCCCGCUCUGUAAAUGUGGCUUAAAACUAGUGCGAAAAGCGUCCGAAAUCGAAGGGACUUCGUUAAAACUGGCGGCGCGUCGUCGCCUCAGACAGUUCGCUGAGGCGGGACUGAAGAACUAGGGCUCCGCGAGCGGGACUGUGCGCGCGACGGAGGAUGCUGUAAUACCCCUUUAAAAGGCCGAAACGUUCCGAGCGCCUCUGCAUCGAGCGCGCGCGGCCGCUCCAUCCGCCGCGCGCGCGACGCCCAGCCCAGAACCGAGGAAUACAGAGAAUAUACAAUGUCCAGCCACGCCGCCGCGGCCAUCUCCGCUAUGAUCACCAGCCAGGUGUACCCGCAGCCGCCACGGGUCGCCACACACACCAGGCAGCGGAGCAGGAGCCAAGAGCUACGGCCUGUGGCGUCGCUCCCAAAAGGCAAAGUCAUCGGGGUGAGGCCCUUCGCUCUACUGAGCCGCAAAGCGCUGUCCCGUGGACAGACACGGGGUUGACCGGCAGUCUGUUAGUGCUCUUCGGAGAACCUUCUGUACGCAGCGCACGGUCCUUAGUUUCACACACACAGUACCGCACUCUAACGUUGGUCACUUGAUUGAACUUUGCCUCGGGGGACAUACACUCUUCCCUGGCAUGACAGGGGUCAUUACUUGCUGAAAACUCCUCUCGGCAUUUAUGGUCUGUCCCAUUGUGCUUUGACUGACACUGAGUUGCUAGACACACACUCACAC